rnacentral:lncRNA from 1 species
UUUUUUUGUCCUUUGGGAAUUUUUUCCAGGAAUUUCCCGGGGUUUUUUUCCAGGUGGUUUUUUUUUUCCCCAAAAUUUUUCCAGGAUUUUUUAUUUCUUCUCGUUUUUAUUUUUUCCAGGAAUUUUUUUCUUUUCUUCGUUCCCAAAAUUCCUCAUUUUCCAAAGGUUUUUCUUGGAAUUUUUCUGAGUUUUUUUCCAGAAUCUUUCCAAGGUUUUUCCAAGUUUUUUUCCGGAAUUUUCCCCAAGUUUUUUCCUGGAAUUUUUCCCAGAAUUUUUCCAAGAUUUUUCCUGAAAUUUUUCCGAAGUUUUUCCUGGAAUUUUUCCAAGGUUUUUCCUGGAAUUUUUCCGAGUUUUAUUCCAGAAUUUUUCCAAGGUUUUUUCCGGAUUUUUUCCAAGGUUUUUCCUGGAGUUUUUCCCCGAAUUUUUCCAAGGUUUUUCCUGAAUUUUUCCAAAGUUUUUCCUGGAAUUUUUCCGAGUUUUUUUCCAGAAUUUUUCCAAGGUUUUUUCUGGAAUUUUUCCCAAAAUUUUUCCAAGAUUUUUUCUGGAGUUUUUCCCGGAAUUUUUCUGAGGUUUUUCCUGGAAUUUUCCCAAGGUUUUUCCGAAGUUUUUCCUGGAAUUUUUCCAAGGUUUUUCCUCAAAUUUUUCCAAGGUUUUUCCUGGAAUUUUCCCAUUUCCGGUCGUUUCCUCCAUGGAUUUUCCCUCUUUAAUUCCAACUCUNUUCUGUUUUUUUUUUGUAGGAAAACCCAAAAAACUGGAAAAAAAAAAAACAACAAAAAACCACCACGAAUUCUAAAAGGGCUACGAGGAAAGGGGGGGAAAAACGGGAAAGGAGGAGAAGGAAAAAUGGGGAAAAAAGGGAAAAAAUCGGGAAAAAAAAUUCCCAAGAAAAGGAAAAAAAAUUGAGAAAAAACUGGGAAAAAUUGGAAAAAAAAUUGGGAGAAAAUUGAAAAAAAAUGGGAAAAAUUUGGAAAAAAAUUGGGAAAAAAAUUGAAAAAAAUCGGGAAAAAAAUGGGGAAAAAUUUGAGAAAAAAUUGGGAAAAAAUUGAAAAAAAUUUGAGUAAAAAUGAGGAGAAAUUGAAAAAAAAUUGGGAAAAAAUUUGAGAAAAAAUUGGGAAAAAAUGGAAAAGAAAUGGGAAAAAAUUUGAGAAAAAAUGGGGAAAAACUGAAAAAAGGGUAAAAAUUGAAAAAAAAUGGGGAAAAAUGGAAAAAAAAUUGGGAAAAAAUCUGGAAAAAAUUUGAAAAUAAAAUGGGGGAAAAAUUGAAAAAAACUAAGAAA